GGUUGGGUGGUGGAGAUAUGACAUCAUGUGUUGCUAUAGUCCUGCUGCAGGAUGGUAGGGAAGGGUAAACCAUACGCUAUGCUGCUCUGCAAUAGGAAGCUUUGGCAGGAGGAGAGGAAAUUUUGAUCUGCUGGGUCGUAAAUUGUGUGUGCUGGAGGUUCUAGCUGAUGCUACAGAGUUUUUCUCCUUCCCCUGGACUCCCUCUUUACCUCUGGCCCUCAAACUGCUCUCUGGUUCCUCAGCAGCUCCCACUUGCCCAUUAAAUACUGGAGGAAGAGAGCAUAGAGCACAGAACUAAUGGCUGAUGGAGAGUCAGAGAGAGAGAGAGAGAGAGAGAGAGGCUAAAAGAGGCACAACAGAAGGAGGCAUGGCCGGGUCAAAGGGGGGAAAUGAUCAAGGAAAAACCACUGCCCCGGACCGACGGUGAAACGACCAGAUUUGCCUUCUCCCCCACCCCAAGAUCACAGUGCACCCAUCCCCCAUCCCCUUCCAAAGUUUGCAUCCUAGUACCAGCCCUGGAAUGUAAUGUUAUGAAUUAUGUUUUCAAUAUACAUGAAUAGGAAUGUGCAAAAGUACAUAUUUUCAAAAUCAAAGUCGUUGGGUUGCCUACAUGACAAGUUGAGUAACUGAUCUUAAGGAAGCCCUGUAUAAUUAGGCUGGUUUUGGGUUCACCUGACCAAAACAAGCUUGCAUAGCUAGAAGCGUCUGCGUAGAGUAUGUUUCGGCCUUUAGGGGCACUUAUAUAAGACUUGCUCUUGCAUUCAAAAACAGCUAGACAGAAUACAAUAAAAUGCAACAGAAUGCAGGAGUCUCGAGAUGCACUUUUAAAAGUUGGACUACUUUUAGCUUGACACAACAUCUGAAAAAUUCAAUGGACUGGAACGUUACAAAAACAGCACAAGAAAUGCAGUGGCCAAAGACGUCCACCUGAAUGUGAAUAGCUGUAGUGGCAGUGGUUUAAAUGGGAUGAAUUUAAAGCCACAACUUUUCAGAGAGGGUUUUACCAUGCAAACUGUCUAAAUUAAAAAAAUUAUCUAAAAACUCACUAAUCGACUAAUUGAUUGUUGGACAUCUAGUCGACAACCAAGCCCUAUGCCUCCACCUGACUUAAAUGCCUGCAUCUGACUUAAAGAAAAUUUACAGGUUCAUGAUUUUAUUUUGGGGGUCUACUAGAAUAGGUUUACAUGCUUUAAUGUUCAAAAAACACAUUAUUUUUCUCAUACUGUACAUUUCUGCUAAACCUAUUUUCAUCCUCUGGCUCAAACGCUCUGAUUUAGGUCCUGUCUCUUUAAAGCCCCCUUUUCCGAAAAGCCCAGUCUGCUCUGAUUG